GUGCUUGCUUUGGUAGCACAUAUACUAAAAUUGGAAUAAUACAGAGAAGAUUAGCAUGGCCUCUACGCAUAAGUGUUUCAUAUUUUG
rnacentral:snRNA from 1 species